rnacentral:rRNA from 1 species
UAAUAGGGCGGAAAGUACGAUAGGAUAGACCCGAAACCAGACGAUCUAGCCAUGAUCAGGUUGAAGCGAUGGUAACACAUCGUGGAGGACCGAACCAACUUUCGUUGAAACGACAGUGGAUGAAUUGUGGCUAGGGGUGAAAUUCCAAUCGAGUUUGGAAAUAGCUGGUUCUCCCCGAAAUAGCUUUAGGGCUAGCCUUGUGGGAUGACCUAUGGAGGUAGAGCACUGAAUGACUGAGGGCCCCAUCCAGGGGUACCGAUUUCAAUCAAACUCCGAAUGCCAUAGGGGGAGGAACACAGGAGUCAGACUGUGGGGGAUAAGCUCCAUGGUCAAGAGGGAAACAGCCCAGACCAACAGAUAAGGUCCCAAAAUACAUGCUAAGUGUAAAAGGGAGUGAUAUUGCGCAGACAACUAGGAGGUUAGCUCAGAAGCAGCUAUCCUUAAAAGAGUGCGUAACAGCUCACUAGUCGAGUGACAUUGCACCGAAGAUUUACCGGGGCUAAGCAUGAUACCGAAGCAUUGGACUCUGAGGAGUGGUAGGGGAGCGUUGUAGGAGCGGCGAAGUCAUACCGAAAGGAAUGGUGGAGCGACUACAAGAGAGAAUGCCGGUGUGAGUAACGAAUAGAGGUGAGAAUCCUCUACACCGAUUGACAAAGGAUUCCUGGGGAAAGGUUCGUCCGCCCAGGGUAAGUCGGGGCCUAAGGCGAGGCCGAGAGGCGUAGUCGAUGGAAAACUGGUUGAAAUUCAGUACCGAUUAUAGGGAGAGGGAGAGACGGAGAUGGUAAGUUGUGCCGGUUAAUGGAUUCCGGUCGAAACGGAGCAGCUGGUAGGGAAGGCAAAUCCACCUACGGGAAGCAGGCCGUGAUAGGGAGCGAAAGGGAAACCAAGUAGUGCAGACAACGUAGACAGCUUCCAAGAAAAUCUUCUAUCAAAAACUUAUAAUUGCCCGUACCGAGAACGAACACACGUGGUCAAGGAGAGAAUCCUAAGGUGAGCGAGACAACUGUUGCUAAGGAACUCUGCAAAAUCACCCCGUAAGUUAGCAAGAAGGGGAGCUCGAGAGAGCCGCAGUGAAAAGGCCUAGGCGACUGUUUAACUAAAACACAGCUCUAUGCUAAGCCGAAAGGCGAUGUAUAUGGGGUGACGCCUGCCCAGUGCUGGAAGGUUAAGGGGAAAUGUUAGUGAGCGAUUGCGAAGCAUAGAACCGAAGCCCCAGUGAACGGCGGCCGUAACUAUAACGGUCCUAAGGUAGCGAAAUUCCUCGUCAGGUAAAUUCUGACGCGCACGAAUGGCGUAACGAUCUAGGCGCUGUCUCAGCAACAGGCUCGGUGAAAUCUAACUACCUGUGAAGAUGCAGGUUACCCGCGACUAGACGGAAAGACCCCAUGGAGCUUUACUAUAACUUGAUAUUGGGAUGUUGCUAUUGAUGUACAGGAUAGGUGGGAGACGAAGAAGUGAAGGCGUCAGCCUUGAUGGAGUCAACGUUGGGAUACCACUCUUCAAUAGUGACGUUUCUAACCCAGGCCGUGAAACCGGUCACAGGGACAGUGUCAGGCGGGUAGUUUGACUGGGGCGGUCGCCUCCUAAAGAGUAACGGAGGCGCCCAAAGGUACCCUCAGUAUGGAUGGAAAUCAUACAAUGAGUGCAAAGGCAAAAGGGUGCUUGACUGUGAGACAAACAAGUCGAACAGGGACGAAAGUCGGGCUUAGUGAUCCGGCGGUGCUGAG